UCCCUGGCGGCUCAGACGGUCAAGUGUCUGCCUGCAAUGCAGGAGACCCAGGUUUGAUUCCUGGGUUGGGAA
rfam:Ovis aries breed Texel chromosome 18, whole genome shotgun sequence.